rnacentral:rRNA from 1 species
AACGAACGCUGGCGGCAUGCCUAACACAUGCAAGUCGAACGAGACCUUUUGGUCUAGUGGCGCACGGGUGCGUAACGCGUGGGAAUCUGCCCUUGGGUUCGGAAUAACAGUGAGAAAUUGCUGCUAAUACCGGUUGAUGUCUUCGGACCAAAGAUUUAUCGCCCAGGGAUGAGCCCGCGUAGGAUUAGCUAGUUGGUGUGGUAAUGGUCUACCAAGGCGACGAUCCUUAGCUGGUCUGAGAGCAUGAUCAGCCACACUGGGACUGAGACACGGCCCAGACUCCUACGGGAUGCAGCAGUGGGAAAUAUUGGCCAAUGGGCGCAAGCCUGAUCCAGCCAUGCCGCGUGAGGGAUGAAGGACUUAGGGUUGUAAAGCUCUUUUACCAGGGAUGAUAAUGACAGUACCUGGGGAAUAAGCCCCGGCUAACUCCGUG